UAGUAGCUACAAGAAUGGGGACCUC
rnacentral:piRNA from 1 species